GACGAACGCUGGCGGCAUGCCUAAUACAUGCAAGUCGAGCGAACAGAUGAAGUGCUUGCACUUCUGACGUUAGCGGCGAACGGGUGAGUAACACGUAAGGAAUCUACCUAUAAGCGGGGGAUAACAUUCGGAAACGGGUGCUAAUACCGCAUAAUAUCUUCUUCCGCAUGGAAGAAGAUUGAAAGACGGCUCUGCUGUCACUUAUAGAUGACCUUGCGGUGCAUUAGUUAGUUGGGGGGGUAACGGACUACCAAGACGAUGAUGCAUAGCCGACCUGAGAGGGUGAUCGGCCACAUUGGGACUGAGACACAGCCCAAACUCCUACGGGAGGCAGCAGUAGGGAAUCUUCCGCAAGGGGCGAAAGCCUGACGGAGCAAUGCCGCGUGAGUGAAGAAGGCCUUCGGGUCGUAAAACUCUGUUAUAAGAGAAGAACAAAUUGUAGAGUAACUGCUACAGUCUUGACGGUAUCUUAUCAGAAAGCCACGGCUAACUACGUGCCAGCCGCCGCGGUAA
rnacentral:rRNA from 1 species